AUUGAACGCUGGCGGCAGGCUUAACACAUGCAAGUCGAGCGGGGUGAUGGUGCUUGCACUAUCACUUAGCGGCGGACGGGUGAGUAAUGCUUAGGAAUCUGCCUAUUAGUGGGGGACAACAUCUCGAAAGGGAUGCUAAUACCGCAUACGUCCUACGGGAGAAAGCAGGGGAUCACUUGUGACCUUGCGCUAAUAGAUGAGCCUAAGUCGGAUUAGCUAGUUGGUGGGGUAAAGGCCUACCAAGGCGACGAUCUGUAGCGGGUCUGAGAGGAUGAUCCGCCAAACUGGGACUGAGACACGGCCCAGACGACUACGGGAGGCAGCAGUGGGGAAUAUUGGACAAUGGGGGGAACCCUGAUCCAGCCAUGCCGCGUGUGUGAAGAAGGCCUUAUGGUUGUAAAGCACUUUAAGCGAGGAGGAGGCUCUUUUGGUUAAUACCCAAGAUGAGUGGACGUUACUCGCAGAAUAAGCACCGGCUAACUCUGUGCCAGCCGCCGCGGUAA
rnacentral:rRNA from 1 species